rnacentral:rRNA from 1 species
AGGACGAACGCUGGCGCGUGCUUAACGACGAUGCAAGUCGAGCGGAAAGGCCCUUCGGGGUACUCGAGCGGCGAACGGGUGAGUAACACGUGAGCAACCUGCCCCUGGCUCUGGGAUAGCCUCCGGAAACGGGGGAUUAAUACCGGACAUUCACUUCCUUCCGCAUGGUUGGUGGUGGAAAGUUUUUCGGCCGGGGAGGGGCUCGCGGUCUAUCAGCUUGUUGGCGGGGUAACGGCCCACCAAGGCGACGACGGAUAGCCGGCCUGAGAGGGCGAUCGGCCACACUGGGACUGAGACACGGCCCAGACUCCUACGGGAGGCAGCAGUGGGGAUAUUGCACAAUGGGCGCAAGCCUGAUGCAGCGACGCCGCGUGGGGGAUGAAGGCCUUCGGGUUGUAAACCCUUUCACCAGGAGCGAUUCAGACGGUACCUGGGAGAAGCGCCGGCUAACACGCGCCAGCAGCCGC